AUUGAACGCUGACGGCAGGCCUAACACAUGCAAGUCGAACGAGUGGCGGACGGGUGAGUAAUGUCUGGGAACCUGCCUGAUGGAGGGGGAUAACUACUGGAAACGGUAGCUAAUACCGCAUACCAUCAGAUGUGCCCAGAUGGGACUAGCUUGUUGGUGGGGUAACGGCUCACUAAGGCGACGAUCCCUAGCUGGUCUGAGAGGAUGAUCAGCCAAACUGGAACUGAGACACGGUCAAGAGUCCUAGGGGAGGCAGCAGUGGGGAAUAUGGCACAAUGGGCGAAAGCGUGAUGCAGCCAUGCCGCGUGUAUGAAGAAGGCAUGCGGGUUGUAGAGUAGUUUCAGCGGGGAGGCGGUACCCGGAGAAGAAGCACCGGCUAACUCCGUGCCAGCCGCCGCGGUAAUUC
rnacentral:rRNA from 1 species